UUUGGACUUGAGCGAGACAGACGUGGUCCGCCGAAGCCAGUGGUGUCGUGGGGUUCUUUGUGGCGAGAGACGAAGUCCGCUACAACUGUGCCAGUGAUUCAUGUCUCGUUGUUUCAUUGCCAUGUUGCUGUCACUCAGCUCAGCUCUACUGCAGAUGAAUUGGCUUAUAUAUGACCCCAUCCCGUGGCCUUUUAAAGGAGCACCCUCUCUGCGCUGAUCGUGACUGCAAGCAUUUGGGUUCCAUUAUGAUCCUCUUUUUCCAUCGGUUAUAUUCAGACAUACACUAUUAUCAUGUAAAUUUGAGCUCUUCUUGAUCCGCUACCUUUGCCAAGUCAACACGGCGAGCUACACAUGAGAGCAUUACUCUUGCCCAUGCAGUCACAUUCAUUUCUCUCCGUUUCCUCACCGGGAAUCCUCACAGCUGUUAGCUGGGCUACAGCCAAACACUGCUGCAGUUAAGAGUUGCAUUGAGUGUUGUGCUUGCAUUUAGAAGUCACUGCUGUUCUUAAGCAUGGCAAUCUUUGUCAUAGUAAGACCUUUAGUGAUGACUGUGUCAAAUGAGCCACUGCAAACACCCCAUGGCCUGACUUUUGCUGAUGCAGAAAGAAAGUUUACAUCAUGUUAAACAACUUUAAUCCUUUCCAUUCAACGAGGAUCAUAGGAGGUCCAAUGACAUAGACAAGCAUAAGCAGCUCUGAGUAAUAUAAGUCAUUUCUUAAAUAUGAAUGGGGAUUGAACAUCAUAAAUUACCAAAGCUUUGUAGCUUACUCUUAAAAUGUGAAGACGAAGAUCCACAGUGUCAGUUUCUUUCUUUAAAUUCUUCACAAAACUGUUGUGCACUUAGAUUUGGAAAAUGAAACAUUACAACUAACCUACUGACUUCAUAUUAGGCAUUUGCUGCAGUUUUCAUUUGAUUUAGCCACUCUUUAAUGGAUUUCAUAGAUUUUAAUGUAGUUGCCAGAUAAUUUACACUUUAGCUGAGGCCACAAAUGCCUCUGAUAUCAUUAUCACACUGAUCAGAGCUGUCUGUUCUCCAGCACGUGGAUGAAGCCUGUUGGAAUCUGUGCCUGUUGGGAGCUGUAAUGCUGAGAAAUGUGCUUAAUUUAUUUGCACAGGUUGUUUGAGUAUACAUGUUUUGCAUGCUUGCUCUCUCUUUUUUACAAAAUAUGUUGUUGGGCAGCGUUUAUCUUUUAAUACAUAGUUUGUGUCUCACUCUCCUAAACAAA